rnacentral:rRNA from 1 species
UAAGGGCGCACGGUGGAUGCCUUGGCACUAGAAGCCGAUGAAGGACGUUACUAACGACGAUAUGCUUUGGGGAGCUGUAAGUAAGCUUUGAUCCAGAGAUUUCCGAAUGGGGAAACCCAGCAUGAGUUAUGUCAUGUUAUCGAUAUGUGAAUACAUAGCAUAUCAGAAGGCACACCCGGAGAACUGAAACAUCUUAGUACCCGGAGGAAGAGAAAGAAAAUUCGAUUCCCUUAGUAGCGGCGAGCGAAACGGGAAGAGCCCAAACCAACAAGCUUGCUUGUUGGGGUUGUAGGACACUCUAUACGGAGUUACAA